rnacentral:rRNA from 1 species
UACAGAGGGUGCAAGCGUUGCUCGGAAUCAUUGGGCGUAAAGGGUAGGUAGGUGGUCUCGUUUGUUCUGGGGUGAAAGCCCAGGGCUUAACCCUGGAAGUGCCCCCGGAAACGGCGAGACUAGAGUCUUGGAGAGGGUCGUGGAAUUCCCGGUGUAGCGUGGAAAUGCGUAGAGAUCGGGAGGAACACCAGAGGCGAAGGCGGCGACCUGGACAAGUGACUGACACUCGAACUACGAAAGCGUGGGGAGCAAACAGG